rnacentral:tRNA from 1 species
ACUAUAGCCAAGCGGUAAGGCAGUGGACUCUGACUCCAUCAUUCGUAGGUUCGAAUCCUACUAGUC